AAUGAACGCUGGCGGCAGGCCUAAAACAUGCAAGUCGAACGCUUGUAGCAAUACAAGAGUGGCGCACGGGUGAAUAGCACGUGGGAAUAUGCCUUUUGGUACGGAACAACUCCGGGAAACUGGAGCUAAUACCGUAUGGUCCCUUCGGGGUAAAGAUUUAUCGCCAAAAGAUUAGCCCGCGGUGGAUUAGCUAGUUGGUGAGGUAAUGGCUCACCAAGGCGACGAUCCAUAGCUGGUCUGAGAGGACGAUCAGCCACACUGGGACUGAGACACGGCCCAGACUCCUACGGGAGGCAGCAGUUAGGAAUAUUGGACAAUGGACGCAAGUCUGAUCCAGCCAUGCCGCGUGAGCGAUGAAGGCCUUCGGGUUGUAAAGCUCUUUAGUCCACGAAUAUAAUGACUGUAGUGGAAGAAUAAGCCCCGGCUAACUUCGUGCCAGCAGCCGCGGUAAUACGAAGGGGGCGAGCGUUAUUCGGAAUCACUGGGCGUAAAGCGUGCGUAGGCUGUUCAGCAAGUCAGAAGUGAAAGCCCAAGGCUCAACCUUGGAAGCGCUUUUGAAACUGCUG
rnacentral:rRNA from 1 species